rnacentral:rRNA from 1 species
CAGUAGCCACGGUAAUACAGAGGGUGCGAGCGUUAAUCGGAUUUACUGGGCGUAAAGCGUGCAUAGGCGGCUAAUUGAGUCGGAUGUGAAAUCCCCGAGCUUAACUUGGGAAUUGCAUUCGAUACUGGUUAGCUAGAGUGUGGGAGAGGAUGGUAGAAUUCCAGGUGUAGCGGUGAAAUGCGUAGAGAUCUGGAGGAAUACCGAUGGCGAAGGCAGCCAUCUGGCCUAACACUGACGCUGAGGUACGAAAGCAUGGGGAGCAAACAGGAUUAGAUACCCCGGUAGUCCCUGUCUCUUAUAA